rnacentral:rRNA from 1 species
UGCCGAUGGUAGUGUGGGG